AUGCAAUCCAGCGGCCCUGUGUUCACAAAGCAGAAUCCAUUUCAACCAGCGUCAAAGGUUGGAAAGUCCCACUACCACCCAUCCAGCAACCAACCCCUAACAAAGAAGAAGAAAAAAACUGCUUUGAGUCCUGUACGCUUAAACCGGCGGCCCACUCCAAAUGGUCCCACUGUUAAGCCAAUGGGCAAACAGCCCUGUGAAACGCAUGAAAGCCAUGUUGCUACGACGGCUGCACAACCUGACUACGUAGAGGUGUGGCCCUCUUCUGCUUCCAGCUCAAUGACCUCAUCUGACCCGGAGAUGCCCAAACAACCUGCAGCAGCAGGGAAAUUUUCAGUUUCCUUUGAACUGGGAGGUCAAGAGGAUUCUGUGUUGGCAAAAUACAUAGAACGUUUUCGAACCGGUCGACCACAGGGUCGCGAUGAGCGCCAGGUGAUGACAUUAACUGAUGGAGAGGAGGAGCUGCCUUUUUGGUGGAUGUCACCAUCAUCUUUACCUCCCAGUUCAACACCAACUAAAGCAACAGAUGAAGAUGACCACGGCUCUGCCACUUUCAGUCCGGCUGUACAGCGUCAACCCCUUUCCCCCUGCAGAGGAUCCCUUAAUAUGAGUGCAUUUGGUGAAUUUGAUGAUACAGACAUACUGCACCUCCAAGAGAGAGCCAGCAAGCUUUUACUCAGAGGUGAAUCUACCCUGAGUGAUGGCUCUGCCCCUGUCAGCUCAGACGGCCUGGGGUGCUCUGAUUUCUCUUCUCCAGUAACUGUAGAUGAACCAGUAAAAAGCACAGUGAUUCCCAGUAUAAUCCAGUCAUUUACUGUAAGGACUGACUCGGACCCGCUUCGAGCUACAACCACCACAAAAUUUGACAGUUCGUCUUUGGUGACCCGCACGCGCCCAGGGGAGGACAUCUUGUUUCAGUGGCGUUUAAGGAGAAAGAUGGAGCAGGCCAGAGAGCGGUCCCAGUCAGCCCGACACACCAGUCUUCAUGAUCCCACUUUUAGCUGGCAGGACCCCAGCUUAACCAAUUCCUUAGCCACUGGGCAGGAUUAUAAGCAACAAAGCACGUCUGCUGAAAUCCCCCAAAAAGCUGCUAAUCCGAACAUCACCUUUCCCCGUCCAGAAUUCAAAGAAGCCUCGGAAUCAUUUCCCCCACUUUCAAAUCCGCCUGUCUGUCCUAACAUUGUCUCUGGCUUUUCAGUUUUACAACCCCAGACUAUUGCCCAUGUUCCUGCCCACAUGCACUUACUCUGUGAUGUCCUGCCCUGCCCCGUCCAGUCCUCUCAUGCUAGUGUGCAACAAAGAAUUCCCCAAACAUCAGAUGAGUCCCGGGCUCAAGUUAUUUAUAAAAAGACCCCAUUCCAUUCAGAGCCUACACUUGAACAUGUGUCAUCCUCACCACCUGCAUCAUCUGGGGCUGAAGGAGAGUGGUCGAGUCAUCACAGAAAACAAGAGCAGAACAAGAAAGAGAGAAAACAGACAAGAGAGUCAGAGAGGAGAGACAAGGCGCCAUCUGCAUCCACCAGAAAGCAAAAGAAAUCAUCAAGAUCUUUUGUGGAGAACGAACAUUCUGAUAGAUGUAGUUCUACAAACAGCUCUUCACAUCAAAGACUUCCAAAAAAGGUCAUACCACGGACAGAGCCUCAUCAACAGCAGGGAGCCCAGGAGUUUCCCAGAGAGAGCUGUGCUCGUGAUUGUGCUCUGCCUCCUUCUCCAGUCCACAGUGCAUUAGGACAGGUAGUUUCAGAGGUUUUGUUCUCUACGGUGGAUUCAUCAGCAGCACAAAGGAGACAGGUGGUCUCCUUGGCGGCUCCUCCUGGCACUACAUCCGUACAAUCACAAUCUGUAGCUCCUCCAUGCCGUGCACGGGACUCUGUGGAGGUCAUUUCUCAGCUGCUGCAAGAGGCCGAAGAUUCUGAUGGGAAGGAGUUUGAAGAUGACGCUUUGCUACAAGUUCUUCGCAAACAGAGAUCAUGGGUAAAGAAGCAGAUCAGUGACAUGGACUCAAUCCUGAAUGAACUCCUGGAUGAGCAACAAAUUACUUGAACAUUGGCAAGAGGCAUUUUAUUUAGUUUUUUUCAUAUUUUUAUAAAGAAAUAAAAUUUAUUUGUGAAAUACA
ensembl:lncRNA proline and serine rich 3